GACGAACGCUGGCGGCGUGCUUAACACAUGCCAGUCGAACGGAAAGGCCCUGCUUUUGUGGGGUGCUCGAGUGGCGAACGGGUGAGUAACACGUGAGUAACCUGCCCUUGACUUUGGGAUAACUUCAGGAAACUGGGGCUAAUACCGGAUAGGAGCUCCUGCUGCAUGGUGGGGGUUGGAAAGUUUCGGCGGUUGGGGAUGGACUCGCGGCUUAUCAGCUUGUUGGUGGGGUAGUGGCUUACCAAGGCUUUGACGGGUAGCCGGCCUGAGAGGGUGACCGGCCACAUUGGGACUGAGAGAGGGCCCAGACUCCUACGGGAGGCAGCAGUGGGGAAUAUUGCACAAUGGGCGGAAGCCUGAUGCGGCAACGCCGCGUGCGGGAUGACGGCCUUCGGGUUGUAAACCGCUUUCGCCUGUGACGAAGCGUGAGUGACGGUAAUGGGUAAAGAAGCACCGGCUAACUACGUG
rnacentral:rRNA from 1 species